CUUAAUGUCAUAGAAGUUGACCUUUUCUUUCAAUAGAUAAUUAUGCCUUCAGAGGGUCUUUUUUUAAAAAGAUUUUUUUCCAAACUUUAAACUUUUUAUUUUGUGUUGACGUACAGUUGAUUAAUGGGCUUCCCAGGUCAUGCUAGUGGUAAAGAACCUACUUGCCAUUGCAGGAGAAGUAAGAGACAUGGGUUUGAUCCCUGGGUCAGGAAGAUCCCUUGGAAGAGGACACAGCGACCAACUCCAGGGUUCUUGCCUGAGAAUCCCUAUGGUCAGAGGGGCUCUGGGGGGUUACAGUCCAUAGGGUCGCAAAGAAUCAGACACGACUGAAGUGACAGCAUACACACACAGCUGAUAAGCAAUGCUGGGGUAGUUUCAGGUGAACAGCAGAGGGACUCAGCCAUACGUAUUCAUGCACCAAUUCUCCCCUAAAGCCCUCUUCCGUCCAGGCUGGCAUAUAACACUGAGCAAGAGUUUCACGUGCUAUACAAUAGAUGCUUGUUGCUUAUUCAUUUUGAAUGUAGCAGUGUGUACAUGACCUUCAGUUCAGUUCAGUUCAGUCGGUCAGUCGUGUCUGACUCUUUGUGACCCCGUGGACGGCAGCAUGCCAGUCUCCCUGUCCAUCACCAACUCCCAGAGCCUACUCAAACUCAUGUCCAUCAUGUCAGUGAUGCCAUCCAACCAUCUCAUCCUCUGUCAUCCCCUUCUCCUCCCGCCUUCAAACUUUCCCACAGCAUCAGGGUGUUUUCCAAUGAGUUGGUUCUUCACAUCAGGUGGCCAAAGUAUUGGAGUUUCAGCUUCAGCAUCAGUCUUUCCAGUGAAUUUUCAGGACUGAUUUCCUUUAGGAUUGACUGGUUGGAUUUCCUUGCAGUCCCUUCAAUAAUGCAAGAUGUACCAUGUAGAUCUAGAGCUGAAGUCGUAAUUACAAAAAACACCAAAUCAAAUCCACAACUUAGAGCUAAAAGGGACCUAAACCACACCUUGUCUCAAUUUCUCAUUUCUAAAUUGGGAAAGAGAGCACUGUUGAGAUGGAGGCCCUUUUCAGCAAAACCAUGAUUGUUUCUGUUUGUCUGUUAGUAGCGUUGAUGCUUGCCAGGUGCAGGACUUAAGGCCCCACC
ensembl:lncRNA